GGAAUAUUGGACAAUGGGGGGAACCCUGAUCCAGCCAUGCCGCGUGUGUGAAGAAGGCCUUUUGGUUGUAAAGCACUUUAAGCGAGGAGGAGGCUACUUUGGUUAAUACCCAGAGAUAGUGGACGUUACUCGCAGAAUAAGCACCGGCUAACUCUGUGCCAGCAGCCGCGGUAAUACAGAGGGUGCGAGCGUUAAUCGGAUUUACUGGGCGUAAAGCGUACGUAGGUGGUCUUUUAAGUCGGAUGUGAAAUCCCUGAGCUUAACUUAGGAAUUGCAUUCGAUACUGGGAGACUAGAGUAUGGGAGAGGAUGGUAGAAUUCCAGGUGUAGCGGUGAAAUGCGUAGAGAUCUGGAGGAAUACCGAUGGCGAAGGCAGCCAUCUGGCCUAAUACUGACACUGAGGUACGAAAGCAUGGGGAGCAAACAGGAUUAGAUACCCUAG
rnacentral:rRNA from 1 species